rnacentral:rRNA from 1 species
AGGCGUGGCUUGUAUCGACCCGAGCCGUGCCGGAGCUAACGCGUUAAGUAUCCCGCCUGGGGAGUACGCACGCAAGUGUGAAACUCAAAGGAAUUGACGGGGGCCCGCACAAGCGGUGGAGUAUGUGGUUUAAUUCGAUGCAACGCGAAGAACCUUACCAAGACUUGACAUCCUGCGAAUUCCGGUGAAAGCUGGGAGUGCCUUAGGGAGCGCAGAGACAGGUGGUGCAUGGCUGUCGUCAGCUCGUGUCGUGAGAUGUUGGGUUAAGUCCCGCAACGAGCGCAACCCUCGUUUUUAGUUGCCAGCAUUAAGUUGGGCACUCUAGAGAGACUGCCGGUGACAAACCGGAGGAAGGUGAGGA